CUCACUUAUCAGGAUAUAAGCUUUACAUUAAUAGAGGAUACUAAAUUCAGCAUUCAACACUUGCCAGCCUCUUCUUCAUCUUUCUUCUACUUCAUCCUUUCAGAAGGAUAACAUGACAGAGUGGUGGUAUAUGGGAAGAAGGAUAUUAAAAGAGAGACAUUCUUUUGGAAUGACGCAGAAGAGAGUUUGAUACUCUGAACAGAGUUGAAAGUUGAAAAAAGUAAAAGUAGCAUAACAAUUUGUACCCGUUUUCAAUUAUGUUUAGGAAUUGUACCCUGUCUGAAAGUUGCAUAACUAUUUUGUUUCCAAAAGAAAGAUCGCAUAUCGAAGAAGCUUUAAACAAGAACUAUCAAAUGAAAUAUUGAUGUCUUUUCCCAUGA